GUGAGAAUCCAAUGCCCCGAAAACCUAAGGUUUCCUCUGGAAGGUUCGUCCGCAGAGGGUGAGUCAGGACCUAAGGCGAGACUGAAAAGUGUAGUCGAUGGACAACAGGUUAAUAUUCCUGUACCUGCUCACACUAAAAGUGACGGAGGCGAAUAGUUAGUGCGCACAGACGGAAUUGUGCGUUGAAAAGAGUGGUAACACCUUGAUAGUACACUAAGACUACGGUCGCGGUGAUAAUCUAGCGAAUCGACUUCCAAGAAAAGCAAGUGAAGCAGCCCGUACCCUAAACCGACACAGGUAGUUGGGAUGAGAAUUCUAAGGUGCUCGAGAGAUUCAUGGCUAAGGAACUAGGCAAAAUGGACCUGUAACUUCGGGAGAAAGGUCGCCAUCCUUCGGGAUGGCCGCAGUGAAAAGGUCCAGGCGACUGUUUAUCAAAAACACAUGGCUUUGCUAAAUUGAAAGAUGAUGUAUAAGGCCUGACACCUGCCCGGUGCUGGAAGGUUAAGUGGAGGGUUUAGCUUCGGCGAAGAUCUGAAAUGAAGCCCCAGUAAACGGCGGCCGUAACUAUAACGGUCCUAAGGUAGCGAAAUUCCUUGUCGGGUA
rnacentral:rRNA from 12 species